GCCUAGAUAACUUAAUGGUCAAAGUAUAACUCUGAAGAAGUUAAAAUUUAGGUUCAAUUCCUAGUCUAGGCA
rnacentral:tRNA from 1 species